rnacentral:rRNA from 1 species
AACGUAGGUACCGAGCGUUAUCCGGAUUUACUGGGCGUAAAGCGUGUUCAGGCGGCCUGGCAAGUCGGGCAUGAAAUCUCUCGGCUCAACCGAGAGAGGCUGUCCGAUACUGCUGGGCUUGAGGACGGUAGAGGGUGGUGGAAUUCCGCGUGUAGUGGUGAAAUGCGUAGAUAUGCGGAGGAACACCAGUGGCGAAGGCGGCCACCUGGACCGUCCCUGACGCUCAAACACGAAAGCUAGGGUAGCGAACGGGG